AUCAACAUUUCAUGUCUGUUACCAGCUGUUGUCUCCCAAAGAAAAUUGGGGAUAACUCAGUUUCAAAAGCUAGCUCAUGACGUAGAUCCAAAAAAAAAAAAACCUAGCUCAUGAAGUAAGGUAAAAUCCAACUAUAGAGACUACAACCCAUUGCCGCACCUGAUGUGGGACAUUUAAACACGCGGUACGCCUUGGACUAAACAACAUGAAGCUCUCUUAGUUUAGAUAGUGGUGUAUAGGAACGUCCUAAAAUAGGAUAUAAUCAGA
rnacentral:lncRNA from 1 species